rnacentral:rRNA from 1 species
UACGAGGGGGGCUAGUGUUGUUCGGAAUCACUGGGCGUAAAGGGAGCGUAGGCGGGAGCCUAAGUUGGGUGUUUAAUUCCGGGGCCCAACCCCGGGCGUGCACUCAAAACUGGGUUUCUUGAAUAGGGGAGAGGUCGGUGGAAUUGGAGGUGUAGCGGUGGAAUGCGUAGAGAUCUCCAAGAACACCCGUUGCGAAGGCGGCCGACUGGACCCAUAUUGACGCUGAGGCUCGAAAGCACGGGGAGCAAACAGG